AACAUAAAGGCCAAAACCUAGAACUGGAAUGAGCUGGAACAGGCCUACACCGCGGGAGCUACAUUUAUGACUUUUGAGAGAUUUACAACUUUCACAAAGCAGGGAGAGAAAAGUAGGGACCCUGAUGGAUGGAAAAAAUCCAUUUCAACCUGUCAUUACAUAUACUUUCAUUUUGAAGACUUCAAGAGAUGAGGGAAAAUUGACUUAUUUUUCCCAGUUAGGGUAUUGAGGGAAGCUGACCAGCACAGACUAAACCCAAAAAAUGAAAUGCAUCUUCUGUUGGUGUUCUCAGUUCUACCGCAAAGAGGGUUGAAAGUAAUUUUGCUGGUGGCAGGGACUGGGGACGGAGAAAUGAGGGAAAAGGAAGCUCCCCCACACCAGUAUGUUAGAUGGUUGGGGCUCCUUUCAGAUUUACGGCAAGCUGGAAAAUCCAUUCUAUGUCUGGCUCAUGUCACAUUCAUAUUUCAUGUCUAUUAGAAGAAUCUCAUGCCACAUCAAUUGUUUGUGAUCUACAUUACAUAUAAUAGGCUCUCUGCUUAUCUUUGACACAGGUGAGGGGCUGAUGUAGAAACUGUUAAAAGACUAUACAAUGACUUGUAUAUUCAAUAAUGGCUCAAACUUCAAAGGUCUAUCAUUUUGCCCUGCUCUUCAUUUCUUUCCUCAUAAUGCUUCUCAAAGCAAUCUUGUCUUUCCAGCCUCACAAUCAAGGACAAAUUCCUGAAUGCAACAUUUGCUUUUCCGUCUUCCCGCUUCACCUCACUCAUCCCUGCAGAAGUACAAGUAUUCCUGGCUUCUUCAAGUCUACGCCUAAGAAUUAAGAGCCUUGGGGAGAAGGGCACUGCAUCGACCACUGCAUCUCAAUCAUUGUGGCAGACGUACCACAGCACUGGGAAGCUGGCCUUGGCAAGAAUCUCAGGCUAUUACUACAGAGUUGGGAAGAAGGUUUAGGAUCAAGAUAGAGGUGACUGACCAAGCCAACAGAUAGUCCUUGAACCAAAAGGAAUUAUGAGAACUCUGCUUAUUUUUGGAAACAUGAAGAAUGAUGAAACCUGUUCAGCAAUGCAUAUUCAUCGGACUGCAGAGGUUUAAUGACAUCAGGGAACCAAACGGAUAAUCCAUAGUACCUGCAAAGACAAAGAAAUGUGAGUUUGUAAAGGCACUAGCAUGCCAGAGGCAAUGAGCAACUCCCUGAUGUUUUCAGACUGGUAAUAGUUCCCGGAGAAUGGCUGGCUCCCUAUAACAUUAUGAGUAAUUCAUCAUACAGCAAUCCAUGUGUCCCUCUCCCCCAGCAUUAAUCUGCAAAAAUCAAGCUUGAGAGAUGGCCUAUGGUUAGCUGGAGAACCCCAGGUAUGUAAUUCCUAAACCCUUCCUUUGGGAAGAGACAUGCAGAAAGCAUCCGAUCCUAUGCCCAUACAUGGUGCCUGGUCUGAAUGUGUCCUUCCAAAACUUAUGUGUUGGAACUUAAACCCCAGUAUAAUAAUAUUAGAGGUGGGGGCUUUAGGAGGUGAUUAAGUUAUGAGGGCAGAGACCUCAUGAAUGAGAUUAAUGUCCUUAUAAAAAGAGGUGCGAGGGUGCUGCCUCUCUCACUUUUUCCCUUCCAUCCCUUCUACCACUGAGGACACAGUAUUUGUCCCCUCUGGAGGACUCAGCGACAAGCUGCCAUCUUGGAAG
rnacentral:lncRNA from 1 species